ACUGGUGAGACUGCCACAGCUUCAAGAUCAGGCAGGUGAGUACAUGUACAUGUGCCCCCCGAUGUUCAGACUUAACACACAAAAAAACAAAGACACACAGUCACAGGUGGAGCUUCACACGGUGAAGAAGCAGAAAAUAAACUAUUACAAUAGUAUGAGAAUGUAAAGUAAUCAUAAGUUUAUGCCAAGUGGUUCUUGAUGUAAUUAGUGAAACAAUACAACAGAUGAUUCAUGGUGUGCCAAAUUUUGCAUUCUUGUUAGACAGGUAUAAUUCCACCUACUGAGUGUAUAGAUAGGUAUGAAUCCAAGAGAGGUCAUUAAUAAGGAAAGUGAGUACGCUCUCAAGAAUUUAAGUCUCUUACAAGCUAAGAGAUCAGUUGCUAUGGGCUGAAAAGAUGAAGAACAAACAACAUUUAAAGCCACAUUUACAUACAGUACAUUAUAAAAGGAAACUCAGGACUUUUUUAAAGUACCUGAAAGGAGAAUAACUGGGAUUUUGAGAAAAAGAAAUGUUGGUAAUGAUCGCAAAACAUGAUAGUAGGGUGAGGGCAAAGCAGUACAACUUGGAUAAGCCUCUCAGAAAUAGAAGUCCAUGUAAUGGUUAUAAUUUCUGUUUUAUGUCCUAACUUUAAUCUCUUAAAAAAAUAUGAUCUUGAUUUAUCAGACAGCAGCAACUUCGGGAAAAAUUCUUAAACUUAUGGUCUCCAUGAGAUUGAGACAAACAGCAUUUAUGGAGAGUUCUAGUUCGGUUUUGGACAAAUUUAGUUAAACCACACUCUUGAACCUUGGUCUAUUGUCCAAGAUACAGAUAGUGUUACAGACUUUUCAACCAUUUAAAUCCAGACUUUAUAAUGUGAAUAUUUAUUACCACCAUGCUUCAACACUUUUCUACAAAUACCAUGUGCUUGUAUGAGUUACUAAUGAUCUUUUCAAAGUAGCUAUCAACAUUCUUCCUCUCUUGUUGUGGUGGAUUUCAGAGUAGCUGUUAAUUCAGUCAACCAUGACCGUAUCAUAGAGAGGUUGCCAAAUCGUGCUGGUGGAGCGCUCAGGAGUGUCUCUUGCUUAUUUGAUUUAUUAAAAAUGUUAAUUCUAUUCCAUUGUCAAUUGUGGCGUCCCUCAGGGGUCAAUACUGCAACCCACUUAGAUCUCUUUUUAGGUGCUCCCACACUUACUUAUAGAAUCAAACAAUAUAACAUCUACUUCUACGCUGAUGACACAUGGGUGUGAGCAGUCCAAACUUAGUGUUUAAUAGAUAUUGAACAAGGAAGCCUGUAAAACUACUUGAACUCAGACAGAACUUGAACAAAGCAGUUCUUCUGCUUUCGGGACUCAGACUAGCUACAUCAGAAUCUUCUUUUUAAAGAUUUUUUUUUACUGAAAGGCUUCCUCGUAAUUAUUGUGAUGAAUUUGUGGUGCUUUAUUUGUUGCCCCUUUUAGUUAACUUUUGUGAAAUAUGUUUUUGUACAUAUUGUUCAAUUUAAUUCAUAUUUUAUUGUUAUAAUUCUAUUUUGAUAGCGCAUUGCAAUGUUAAUUAAAUUCACAGGAAAAACACAUUUUAGUCAGACUGAACAUGAUGUUAACUAGUAUCAUUUGUCACUACUGGAUAUACGGAUUUAAUAAAUAUAUAUAUUGUUUAACAUCUUAAUUUAAAGCUUACUAUACUUUUCCGAAAAGAAUCCCUCGUGUGUGUUUUAAAACCUUUGACAGUGAUGGUGCCUUUAGGACAUCCCUGACAAAUGACAAAUGAUUGGAAACCAUGGCGACUGUUGGCAGAUACUUCUAGUUUCAGGCAGCAAAGCCAUUAGUCAUCCCACCAAAACCAGUGUUAUAGCUUGAGGCUCAGUUGUUUUAGGUUCUAAACUUUCACUCUGCUGAGAAUCAGACAUACUGUACACCCCAGGGCCCAGGGGAGGGUGAGAAGCCAGUGGGGGGAGGUUGGAGAAGAUUUUUAGGGUGCCUACAGUUUUGGGGGGCUGAGAGGAUCUAUUUAGCCCCCAGCAGAUUGCCCCCCUUCCUCUCCUUCCCUCCUCCUCCUCAUCCUCCUCCAAACCCUCUCCUCCCCCUGGCUUUGUGUGCCCCUGAGCCCACUCCUCCCCCUUUUGUCACCCGGGCAUUCCGCUUUGGUUAGCACACACAAUGGGCGCUCAGUGCUCACCCUCCUGACACUGCAUUCUGCCUGUGCACCAGGGAGUGGGCAUGGGGAGGGGGGGAGGAGGGAAAGAGGGUCUAAGGGGGGAGGGUUAAAGGAUGACAGCAACUCGCCCCAUGUGACCAAAAUGCCAUCAAGUAUCACUCACCCCCUCAACACACACACCACCACCACCACCACCCCCAUCCAUCCACCCACCCUCCCUUGUGUUUUCAAAGACCAUCGACUAACUUCUCCCGUCCAUACAGAUGGGCAGUAAACGGGUGCCAGCAGGCCGGCUUGGCACGGCGCAAAACAAAAACGCAGAGUUUGCUCGCCAAACAAACGAACAGGUGUCUCUUAUGGCUGACUGGCAAUGUGGAGCCCCAGCCUUCCUCUCUCGGUCUGUGUGCCCAGCUACAUGUGUGUUCCCUUGAUCUUCUUUCUGUAGCCCGGCACACAUCCUACACGGAAUUUUAAGACCUGACCUCAGAGCAUUUUUGUCUGAAAAUUAAUCCCCUACAACGACGACGCUAAGAGUGAAAUUGGCAUGAUUACAAGUCCGGGAUUUACUGCUUUGACAUGUUUAUCAAAUAUUUGGAACCCGUCCUAGCCCCUUGUAGUUUUGCCCCUGCUGACAUAAUGGACAGAGUUCAACAUGUCACAGCUUUCUUAUUUUGUAAACGGUAGCACUCAUACGAUCCAGUGAAUAAUUUGUUUGUCCUGAGAUUGAAGAAAUUUACCCGAAAUACACUAUUUUAAAAAACACAGACACACUAACUUUGCUGUCUUACCCAGACCAGAAUGACUCUUAGUGGGACCCUCAAGAGACGCCACAGCACACCAUGAUCAGGUGUCGAAGAUGUAAAAGUUGAUGCUAAAGUUGCAGAUCAUGUAACUACAGCCUGAAAUUGAAUUCCUAUUUAAGGGAAGCAACCAGUGGAGGGCAACAAGACGACUGUGUGUGGAUAUGUGUGUGUGGCAGCAGCUCAGAGGCUGGUGGGGGGUUAGUUUGAGUUUCAAAGACCCUGCUUGUUCGCCCAUAUUUCACACCACGGUGACAUCUUAAAGCCUAGACAGGCCUGGUUGCUUCGCCCUCUCUUUCACUUUCUGAGAAAAAAAAGGGGAAUUGGGAAGAGAAGGAGGGGGCACCGAAAUAUAUGCAAAUGGUCCCCCAGAGGGGAUACGAAUUUUAUGGGUUUAGAAUUUAGUUCAGCCAACCUGAAUAAUCAAAUGUGGGAACGAAAAAAAAAAAAAAACUCCCUACCACCACCACAACUACCGUACCUCCAACUUCAACCCCCCACCUCAGGCCUCAUCUCUGCUCCCUCCUGCCAGGUCCACACAUAAGAGGAGCUCAGUACGUCCAAACUCUUAUUAGGAUCUCCUUACGGGGCAAGGAGAAGGGAAGAUAAAUGAGGUGGGGGGAGAAGGAGAAGGUGGAGGAGGGGGUUCUGAGGGAGAAGGAGGAGAGGGGCUAGUGUACCUGAUCAGGCAGAACUGCCGGCUCCUGAUUACGACACCAUUUUCUCAGCAGGCCUCCCAGCCUCAUCCUGCUUCUGUGAAUAUGGAGCGCAGGGCCAGCCAAUCCCCUCAGCGCUGCUUCUCAUCUAAUGGCAGAAUUAAGACCGUUUAGAGUGAUUUCCUCUGCCUUCAUGCUCGCACUCUGAAAAGAGCUGAACCUUUUUUCCUUUUGCGCCGAUUUACAAUGUGGGGGGUCUGGCAUGCAGCGGGUGAGAGAAAAGUUCUACAUGACUGAACAUAACAUUACAACAGGUGGGGAAUUGGAGGGAGAGUCUAUGGAACAUGGAUGGGAACUGUUUCGUGUAACCUAUACAUCCUUGUUACAUUGGACUGCACAGUUUUAGUUUGAUAAUAAAGGAUUAUUUUUGUGGCAAACUUACCUCCAUGUGGGUUAAGGAGAGUACAGACAGCUCUCGUUGGAAACAACGACCAGCACUUUGCCAUUUUACUUGAUAUCUCCAUCACUGUGUUACAUUUGGUCCCCUGAUUUGGACAAAACAACAUACAGAGGGAUAUUGUGGAUAAAUGUAAAGUGUCUUAAGGUGUUUCAGGUUGGUGUAAUUGGUCUACGCAGGGUCAACCCACCUCAUGUAAAAGGCAAAGACAAAACUGUAAGACUCAUCCAGGGUUCAUGCGACUGUUCAGCCUCCUACUGAAUGCAGAACAAAUGUAAGCAUAUUGAAUUUGACAAAACAAAUUUAAAGGACAGUAUUAAAUAAGCCAAAAUCAAAUUAACCAUGUCAAGUUUGAUCACUUUUGUUGUCGUUCAACUCAAGUGAACUGAACUUUACAGAUAUUUAUCUGAGUUUUCACAAUAUCCAGAAAAAAUAAUCACUACAAGAUCAACAUCUAAAUCCCACUGAAGACAGGUUUUCUUUUAAUUAAAUGGGGCAUCAGUGUGCGGUGUCAUUACAGUGUGUUCCCCUCCCCAUUUUUAUUACAUCAGACCCCCAUGGACUUCAAACCCUCAGAAGUCCAUGGGGGCUCAGCGCUAAGGCUUAAGGGUGGACAUAAGGGCUGAGUUUGAACAGUGAGCUGAACAGGUGCCAUAUGUACAUUUUACCUUUAUUUAUAGCCUACAUUUCAUUGACAUUAUAUCUGUACGUGUGUGUGUGUGUGUGUGUGUGUGUGUGUGUGUGUGUGUGUGUGUGUGUGUGUGUGUGUGUGUGUGUGUGUGUGUGUGUGUGUGUGUGUGGGAGGUGGAGGUCCUGCUUUUUUGUCCAAUGCUAAUCACAUGCCUGAUUUGGGGUUUAAUAACCCUAAUUUGCCUGCUCAGUACAAACCAUGAAAAACUAAGACGUAUCCCCCAAACAUGACUAAAAUCAAUGUGCAAGGUUUCUACUGGACUUACAAAAGUAGCCUAUAGAAGUUUGAACUCUAAGAUAAAGGAUAAAGCUUUUAUAUCUUUAAUUUUGUUAGGUAUGUGUGCAAAUGGAUAAUUUAUACAUUAAAGUCUCAUCUUGCGUUCUUUCAUAACAGAACAUUCAGCAAUUAUUUAAGCAAUUAAAAAAGUUUUAAGUCUUUUUCUGCAGUGUACUGUCGACUGUCCAUUCAAGUACCUGCUGAUACAGACAUUAUAAAACAAAAGAGAGCUGAGAGAUCAGUUACUAGUGGUCAUAAGGAGGAGUCACUGCCAGUUUUUUUAUUUAUAUCAAAAACCCUAGUGACUCCAAGUUUGAGUUACAGUAGUUUUGUACCAACUCAUACAUCCAAGAUUUAUAAAAUCGAUCUACAAAGAAGGGGAAUGAAACUAUUAUCACAUUAUUACACUUUAAAUACCAGGAGCAAAAGCCCUCUUGCAGAAUAACAAACAAAAUGUUUAAUACAACUGGAUAAUAAUUAACAGUGCCUCUAGAGAUUGGUAAUUCUCUCAAUUCAAGUCCUUGGGUUUUGCGUCAGCUAGAAUCUGAUAUAUUUUUCUCCCCUUUGAAAGCUUGACCUCUGUGGCUAUGUCUUCUCAGUGAAUUUGAUCAGUUUACAUACAUGUAAUCCUUACAUGGAAGUAAAGCACGCUUAAAGGCUGAAAGCUGUUCAUGUGUUGGAUCAAACUGAUUCAGCAUGACACUUACCCAUGCAGGGUGUAAUUCUGGAAGCAAAUCUGCUUAAACUCACUCCUUCUAUGUCAAACUGCAUUACAUCAAGGCCAUCACUCUGCAAUAUGGCAUAGCACCAUAUCAAACAGUCACAGUUUGAACCUGUUGCUUUUGUGCUCCCCAUGCUUCAUGAUUCCCCCACUUUGCCUCCAGUAGACAAAUCCUUCAGCUUUAUUGCCCAGACUCAAGGGCUGCAGGUGCACAGGCCACAAAAGAGAAAGGAGGAGGGGGGUGGUAGAGGAGGGGAUGGGAAAGAGAAUGGUCAGUCGGGAGAUAAGAGAGGAAGGAAAAGAGCCCCCCUCUCCACCCUGGUUUAACCUCUACACCCAUCCAUCCAACCUACCCCUCACCCUGCCUCCAGCCUGGCCAUGUCCCUCACCCUGCUACACCUCUCCCGUUUGGCUCGGCUACCCCUGCCACACGUGACGUGAGUGCAAACUGCGAGUGGUGCCGCCUGGCUCUACCAGGGCCUUCCUGUGUGUGCGGCAGGGGGACAGGGGGCAGGCGUGGCAGAGUGGCCAUGUGGCGGGAGCGGCCCUUUUCUUCUUAACCAGUAGAGGAGCAGUAAUGACUGUGAGCUACAGCUGUGCCCACUCAGGCUUGCCUUACCUUGCCCUGUGGUGGCCCCUCAACCUCCUGGCUCCAAGCUGCCCUUCGGUUCUGAACUCUGCCGCUGUCAGUGUGAAGUUUUUUCUCCACUGAAAACAAAGUUGAGAUAUGAUCAUCUGUUUUGAAACAAGACCCACUCUUUCCAACAGUUAUGUUAUCUUUAUUUUUAUCAGGGACGCUGUAAUAUUUUCUGAUUUCUUCAACUCAUUCACUGUAUUGAUGCUCUUUGCAUAUUACGAGUCUGCAAUAACGGCGCCAUCAUGCUUUUGUAUUUCCAUACUAAUUCUGCAGCUGCUUAAAACUGAUGUCCCUGUGUGAUAUUCCCACCGUGUUACUGAACACACACCAAGACUCCACAUACACACAUCCAGACAUCCAGACACAAAUACCCACCAUGACAACUCUUUGAGGUUCAUAUUGAAAGUGAAACAUUACAGGAGCAAAAACAUUACACACUGUAUCUGAUAAGGGUUUUAAUGAAUGUGUACACAAACUGAGGUGUCCUUUGUUGUUUCUAUUUGCUUUUUCUUUUAAUACUUUGACUUUAAAAGAUUAUUAUCUCUUCUGAACUUGUUUUGGUCCAGAGGCCGCUAACAGCUGUAGGUACUUUAUAAUAGUUUUGUAUCUAAUUUAAUUUCACUAUUAACUGUAAGUUUCCAUUAAAAGAUUUCAAAACAUUUCAUUUUGUUUAGCUGUUAAGAGGUCUUUUAUUUCUUUCCUUCUUUAUGUGUUGUACAUAAAAACCUCAAAAUUGUUUCUUUUAAAAUGAUUAAAUAGUCAUGUCUUUUACAGAUCUAAGAAAAACUAACAGCCCUUUCACUGGAGAGGACUAAAGCAUUAACCAUUAAAAUGUUAUUACCAAUUACAUAUCUGUGAUCAUCAAUUUAUUGAUUAACUUUAUCAACUUUUUAGCCUUGGUCUUCAAACCUCCUAUGAAGACUUUUUGACAUUUCUCAAACAUACUGAAAUUCAAACUGCUGCAUUUUCAUUACAUAUAAAAGCAAACAAAACCAUCAGCAACCAGAUUAAGGAUUUUUAUCUCAUAAUUUGUAAUGCUUGAAACUGAUGUAAGGAUGUUAGGUGUCAUGUAAGCAGCUGGAGAAACAGCUCUGUUUUACUAUUUCCCAAUAAAAUACUUACAAUAAAUGAUUUAUAUGGGUGUCAAAAGUCAGAGGGAUACGAUUUUUGUAAAGGACACUAUAAACAUAAACUGUUUUGUCCACAGGGGGAGACAAAGUAGACCUAUAUUAAAAUUUCCUUACAGGAGCUUUAAGAAAGUGAAAUGUCCCAAAAGACAGAGUAAGUGAGAGGAAAAUGAUUGUUUUAUGAGCACAUUGCUCUUUAAGUCAUAGCAGUGUAAACAAAUCCAGGCAGUGAUGGGGAUAAAAGGGUGGAAACGGUAUUUAAAAAAUAAAAUAAAAGGAACUUAAAGAGGGGUGCUUUUUUUUGGUCUUGCCGCUUUUGAGAUGAUCUAUUGUGAAGGACUGAUGUUGGAGAACAUGUUUCUGGAUUUUCUGUGUAAAUUUAGUGUAGGGUCACAGUACAUGAGGGGAUAUACCAAACAUUUUUUGGUUUGCAUGUAUAAGGCAUGUGUGUAUUCAUAGGUAAUCUCUCAUACAUGUUAUUUUCAGGGCGUCUAAAAACUUUUGAGGAGUGGGUUCCUUUAGCAAGACACUCAGUCACUCACAACUUGGUCUUUCUAUGAUUACUGUUGUCUCUGAGCCGAUGUCACAGUGUUUUACCUCCUUACAUUACAUGUAUAGUUUAUCCUUUGGUAUCCUAUGAUAAUGUUAACAAGAAGAAGAGAAAUAGAUGUAAACCCAACCUGAUCUUCAUAGAGGCAGAGGAUAGGAGGGUUUGUUUGUGGCCUAAAUGACUCAGAUUAAGAAAAGAGACACACCAUGUGAGUCAUAAAACUUGGAAAUACCUGACAACCAUUUCAAACAUGUGCGGUCCAAGCUUUGACUGUGUGCCUCCAUCCUUCCACCUGUUGACAAAAAGCCGUAUGGAGUGACCUUCUUUACACACAUAAUACGAUAGCACAAUACUCUAGCCUGCUCUCUGUCACACAUACGAACAUAAACACACAAACCUGCCUAUGUUACAGGAGCUGCCGUGCUGGGAACACACCCUCAGGGACAGGAAUAACAGGCCACUCCAGCACAUGAGGACAUCUGAGACACAGUGGCACCACACAAGCACGAUGACUCCUUAACGUGGCCUUAUCUUCAUCCCUAAUCCUCAGCCUCUUCUCUGUCAGCUACUGUUUACACCAAGCACAAGUCAAGAGUAAAAGCA